UACGAAGGGGGCUAGCGUUGCUCGGAAUCACUGGGCGUAAAGCGCACGUAGGCGGCUUUCUAAGUCAGAGGUGAAAUCCCGGGGCUCAACCCCGGAACUGCCUUUGAUACUGGAAAGCUUGAGUUCGGGAGAGGUGAGUGGAACUGCGAGUGUAGAGGUGAAAUGCGUAGAUAUCCGGAGGAACACCAGUGGCGAAGGCGGCUUUCUGGACCGACACUGACGCUGAGGCGCGAAAGCUAGGGGAGCAAACGGGAUUAGAAACCCCGGUAGU
rnacentral:rRNA from 1 species